rnacentral:rRNA from 1 species
GAUGAACGCUGGCGGCGUGCCUAAUACAUGCAAGUCGAACGGGGAGUAGCAAUACUCUUAGUGGCGAACGGGUGAGUAACGCGUUGGUACCUGCCCCGAAGCGGGGGAUAACGGACCGAAAGGUCCGCUAAUACCCCAUGUGCUCGGUAACGAGUAAAGGUGAAAACCACUUUGGGAGGGGCCUGCGUCCCAUCAGCUAGUUGGUAAGGUAACGGCUUACCAAGGCGAUGACGGGUAGGGGACCUGAGAGGGUGGCCCCCCACAAUGGAACUGAAACACGGUCCAUACACCUACGGGUGGCAGCAGUAGGGAAUAUUGGUAAUGGGCGCAAGCCUGAACCAGCAACGCCGCGUGUGCGAUGACGGCCUUCGGGCUGUAAAGCACUUUUGACUGGGACGAGGAAGGACGGUACCGGUCGAAUCAGCCUCGGCUAACUACGUG